UACGUAGGGUGCAAGCGUUGUCCGGAAUUAUUGGGCGUAAAGAGCUCGUAGGCGGUUUGUCGCGUCUGCUGUGAAAACCCGAGGCUCAACCUCGGGCCUGCAGUGGGUACGGGCAGACUAGAGUGCGGUAGGGGAGAUUGGAAUUCCUGGUGUAGCGGUGAAAUGCGCAGAUAUCAGGAAGAACACCCGUGGCGAAGGCGGUUCUCUGGGACGGUACUGACGCUGAGACGCGAAAGCGUGGGUAGCGAACAGG
rnacentral:rRNA from 1 species